rnacentral:miRNA from 1 species
GGUUUCAGGCCGGUCGCUCGA